AUUGAACGCUGGCGGCAGGCUUAACACAUGCAAGUCGAGCGGAGCGAGGGUGCUUGCACCUUAGCUUAGCGGCGGACGGGUGAGUAAUGCUUAGGAAUCUGCCUAUUAGUGGGGGACAACAUUCGGAAAGGAAUGCUAAUACCGCAUACGCCCUACGGGGGCAAGCAGGGGAUCUUCGGACCUUGCGCUAAUAGAUGAGCCUAAGUCGGAUUAGCUAGUCGGUGGGGUAAAGGCCUACCAAGGCUACGAUCUGUAGCGUGUCUGAGAGGAUGAUCCGCAACAUUGGGAUCGAGAGACGGACCAGAGUUCGACGGGAGGCAGCAUUGGGGAAUAUUGGACAAUGGGCGGAGGCCUGAUCCAGCCAUGCGGCGUGUGUGAAGAAGGCAUUUUGGUUGUAAAGAACUUUAAGCGAGGAGGAGGAUACUAGUAUUAAUACUACUGGAUAGUGGACGUUACUCGCAGAAUAAGCACCGGCUAACUGUGUGCCAGCCGCCGCAGUAAAAC
rnacentral:rRNA from 1 species